CAGGCUUCAGCAGUGCUUAAAUUCUGAUCCUUUGAACACACAUAGAACUGAAAAUGAGCAACAGGAAAAUGAAGCCACCAUCAAUUCUGGAAACAGCACCACUUCUUGAAGAUCUGGAAAGGAUAAUGCUAAUAUCACAGAAACAUAGACUCACUGAGGCUGUAAGGGACCACUGAAAAUGGCUCACACAGCUCCAAGUAAGACAAGAUGUUUCUGCUUCUAU